CCACUCCUCUGUUUAAGAAGUGGAUUGCAUGCUUGGUCAAAGAGGAUGACCUUCCCUGAUAGAGGAGGUCCCUUCUUUGGUCAAGGGUGUGUGAGUAGCGCACUCCCCUGCUAGAAUAUCCAGACAAGCUCUCAAGAGGCAGAGCCUAACUAGUGACUC
rnacentral:sRNA from 1 species